AUUGAACGCUGGCGGCAUGCCUUACACAUGCAAGUCGAACGGUAACGCGGGGCAACCUGGCGACGAGUGGCGAACGGGUGAGUAAUAUAUCGGAACGUGCCCAAUAGUGGGGGAUAGCCCGGCGAAAGCCGGAUUGAUACCGCAUACGACCUGAGGGUGAAAGCGGGGGAUCGCAAGACCUCGCGCUAUUGGAGCGGCCGAUAUCAGAUUAGGUAGUUGGUGGGGUAAAGGCCUACCAAGCCUACGAUCUGUAGCUGGUCUGAGAGGACGACCAGCCACACUGGGACUGAGACACGGCCCAGACUCCUACGGGAGGCAGCAGUGGGGAAUUUUGGACAAUGGGCGCAAGCCUGAUCCAGCCAUGCCGCGUGCGGGAAGAAGGCCUUCGGGUUGUUAAACCGGACUUUGUUCUAGGGAAGGAAAAGUACUUCC
rnacentral:rRNA from 1 species